UAUAUUACAAUAAGUCGGUCAUGGCAACGCGUCCAGGUUCAGAGCUUCUUUCUUCUUCCAUUCCUUGGUUUAGGGUUUGGAUUUUAUUCGUGUAUCAUGGCUGCCGAUGUUAUAGAGCCAUGGUUUAUCGGUUCAGCGGUUAACUCCUUCCAAUUAGUUUCUUCUCUUAACGUACAGUCUUUUAUGGUUCGUUGUUUUUGGGGUUGGAUGAUUCUAUUUUGAUCGAGAUCGGUUGUGGUUUUUGUUGGUGUGAUUUAGGACUGGACUGGUUUGAUGGCGGUGGCUGCUGCCAAGGUCUAUAUAAGCAAACAGUUUCGUAAAUCGGUUUAUUGGUUUGCAGAGAUCGACUUAUUGUUUCGUUAAUUUCAUUACUUCUUUGUCAGAAUCUGCCUGAUUUGAUAUGGAUUGUGAUGCAUCAUGGUUUUGUUGAUGUGUUAUUAGGAUUUGGCCGGUGAAGGCUGCAGUCCGUACAUAUAGCCAUGGGCAGAGCUUCGGCUUUUAUCGGUUUACACGGAUUAAAUCUAAAUCUGCUUUCUUUACCUUCCUUUCCAAACUGUUAUUAUGUGAUGUAGUCUAAAUCGGUUUUAGUGAUCAACUCAUGCCUUUCUCAAUAAUUUUUUGAUACCUGAUCAACUCAUGUUGAAACCUUCUUUUGCCACGUUCUAUAUCUAAGUGGAUCAAAUUUUUCCUUGCUCUGUUUUAGGGUGUGCUGGAAUUGUGCUGGUCACAGCUAGCAAGCAGCUGUGGUGCUUCGGCUCUCUGUGGUUUCCAAAAUCAACUUAUUCCAUUCGAUUAUCUUCCUUUCUUUCCCAAACCCUAUUUUUUAUUUUGACCUUAGGAUUUGUCUGGUAUAUUGGUAGGUGCAAGUGCUGGCAGAGUUAAAAUUAUGUGAUUCGGCUGUAUUUGGUUUGGCAAUCAACCGUUCUUUCUUUCGAAAUCUCUGUUUUUUUUUUUUCUUGUUUUUUUUACUAGUUGUCUGCUCGGGUGUAGAUUGAGUUGUUGUUGGUGGUCUUUAAUUAGGAGAAUUCUGGCUGCGGUGUUUGCAAUGGCUAUACAAGCAGGAGUUGAGGUUUCAGUUGAUUUCAUCGGUCAAGCUGUUCCUUCUGAAUUAAUUUUCUACCUUUCUAAAAUAACAUUUUGCUUGAAUUCUGUUUUGCGCUCAUGCAACACUUACUGUUGUGUAGGGAUUGGCUUUAACAAGCAGGAGUUGCCUGGUUUUUGCAAUUUGUUAUUUCGUUCAAAUAUUUAAUCUCUCUUAAAGUUUUUGGUGAUUCUCGUUUUUCUUUUUCUUUCAUAAAUGCUUGUUUGGUUUAAUUUACAGUUGCUGCUGAAUUAGGAUUCUCCAGUUCUCAAAUCAUACUGAUUGACACUGACAGCACUCUGUUUUGGCCUGCAUAUUGCAUACUUUAUGCAGGAGGGGGUUUGAUAUGGAUUACUGGGUCAUGAUAUGAUGAAAUAUGUUCUGCUUGUGUAUUCCAGGGUGGUUAAAGGAGGUUGUAAAAUUGAGGAAAUGCACUUCUUCACGAGGGGGUUUGAUGCUUCUUGGCUAAAUAAUUUAAUUACAGAACAAAACUCUUGAGUCAUUCAACAGAUACUGAACUUCUAAAUGAUGGAUGAUGUGUAUUAUCAGGAUCAAAGAGGAUUACAAUGCUUCAACUAAUGAGAUUAGAUAUUGAAAAUCGGAUUUUCGGUUUGCUGGUGUGCCAAGCAAUGGGUAGAGCUUCAGCUUUCAUUGGUUUACACAUUAAAAUAUGAUAAUUUUACCUACCUCUUAAAUUAUUUAAAACUAUUAUGUGAUGCUUGCUUUUGGGCUGUCUCCUAGAGUCUCGAGUUAUGGAUGGGUAUUGCUCCUAUUGGUUUAGGCUACAGCUCAGUGGUGGUGGUGGCUAGGAAUUCUUUAUUUCCCAGGCUUAAUUGGUUAAUCGGUUUUAGUGAUCGACUCAUUCUUUCUCAAUUUUUGUUGAUACCUUGUUUUUGGCACGUCUUAGAUCUAAGUGGAUCAAGUUUUUCAUUCGUCUGUUUUAGGCUGUGCUGGUAUGUUGGUGAUGGCUAGCAAGCAGCUGUGGUGCCGUGUCUCGGUUAUUGGUUUUCAAAAUCCAAUUUAUUCCUUUCAAUUAUUUUCCAUUCUUGUCCAAACCCUAUUUUGACUUUAGGAUUUGGCUGGUAUUUUGGUAGGUGCAUGUGCUGGGCAGAGCUUAUGUGAUUCGGCUGUAUUUGGUUUGGCGGUCAACCGCUCUCUCUCUCUCUCUCUGUUUUUUUUUUUUUUUUUUUUUCCAAUUUUUUCUUCAGCUCUCUGGUUUAGAUUGAGUUGUUAUUGGUGUUCUUUAGGAGAAGUUCGGAAUUUGGCUGCUGUGCUUGCAAUGGCUAUGUAUGCAGGAGUUGGGGUUUUUUAGUUGGUUUUGUCAGUCGAACUGUUCCUUUUUAAUCAACUUUAUACCUUUUUUUAAAUAAAAUCUUGCUUGAAUUCUUUUUGCACUCAUGCUACAUUUAUUGAUCUGUAUCAGGGAUUGGUUUACCAAGCAGGAGUUCCCUGGUUUCUGCAAUUUGUUCUUUCCUUCUAAAUAUUUUAUCUUUCUCAGAAUGUUUGGCGAUUCUCGUUUUUCUUCGUAAUUACUUGUUUGGUUUUUAAUUUACAGAUGCUGCUCAAUUUUGUAAAGGAUUCUCCAAUUCUCAAAUCACACAGAUUGAUGUUAAAACGGUUUGGUUUACUGACAGCACUCUGUUUUGGUCCUCGUAUUGUUUUGCUAGGAGUAGGGAUUCAUGCAUAAGGGGGUUUGAUGCUUCUUGGCUUAGUUUUCUGUCAACAAUGAUGUGAUGAAACUAUGUUCUGCAUGUGUAUUUCAGGGUGAUUAGAGGUUGUAAUCUGCACAAGGGGGAUUGAUGCUUCUUGGCUAUACAGAAAAUCUUUAAUUGAGAAAUUCUUAGUCAUUCAACAUACUGAACUUCAUGGAUGAUGUAUUGGGGUGAUGUGUAAUUUCAGGAUCAAAGAGGAAGAGGAUGAUGUGUAUUAUUAUUCAGUAAUUACAAUGCUUCACUUAUUAAUAUUAGAUUUUGAAAUCGGAUUUUUGCUUUGCUGGUGUGUUAAUAGGGUUUGGCUUUUAUUGGAGAUACUGCCUAUAGACCAAGCGGUCUUGUACGGUUUAUUGGUUUCAGCGGUCAACUCAUCCCUUCAUUGAUAUAUUCCUUCUCUUAAAAUCUUUCCUGAUUUGUUGUUCUGUGGUUGGAUGAUUCGGUUUUGAUGGAGAUCGGUUGGGGUUUUUGUUGAUGUGCUAGGAUUUGGCUUGUUUGAUGGUGAUGGCUGCCGGGGUUUAUGUAGCGAAUUGUUGUGUAAUCGGGUUUAUUGGUUUCAGUGAUCAAGUUUUCUAAAAUUUUAUUCCUCCAAAUCUUCUUGAUUCAAUUUGGAUCAUGAUGUGUCAUGGUUUUAUUGAUGUGUUUUAGGAUUUGGCUGGUGGAGGCUGCAGUCCGGACGAGUUAUUUGGAUUGGUGGUGGUGAUGGUUUGCAAUAAUUUUUGUUCCAGGCUUUAUUGGUUUCACCUUAUCAGUGAUCAACUCAUUCCUUCUCAUUUUGGGCAUGUUUUAGAUUUCAGUGGAUUAAGAUUCCUUGUGCUGUGGCUUUUUUGGUUUCCGUGCUGAACUUUUUUGGUCCUUUCUUAUUCAUCUUCAUCUUCAUCUUCAUCUUCCUUUUCAAAUUCUCUUCAGAAAACACUGUCAGACCUCUUUUCUGUUCUGUUUCAGAUCGAGGAUUUUCAGGUUUUUGGUGCUGUGUUGGUAAUGGCUACUAUGACAAGCAGGAGUUUGGGUUUGUCAAUUGGUUUGAGUGAUCAUCUUGCUCCAUCCUUCUUAUCUGGGUUCAUGCUUAUAUUGAUGAGUAUCAGGGACUGGUUGAGUCCAAAAGUGUUCUGUCUAAUUGGUUUCCUGGUUUCUGUUUUUUGUCCUUCAAAUCUUUGGUUUCGCUUAAAAUAUUUAAAAUCUUUUGUGAUUGGUUUUUUAAUUACAGAUGCUUCUGAAUUAUGGAUCCAAUGCUCAAAUCAUACGGAUUGGGGUUAAAAUGGUUUGGCUACUGAUCACUGGCUUGUGAAUUUGCCUUUGGAUUUCCAAUUUAGUGAUGUUAUAUACAGUUCUUUAUUGCUUGGAGCAUGGAUUUAUGUAGUUGGAGGUUUGAUGCUUCUAGGCUUAUAAUCCAGUUUUUCACAGCUUUAUUUUUGGUUUUGGAUUACAAGUCAUUUAUGAUAUGAUGGAAUUCUGUUGUGCAUGUGUAUUUCAAGGUGGUUACAGGAGAUUGUUAAAAAGGAGUAUGCAUCUAUUCACGAGGGGGUUUGAUGCUUAUUGGCUUAAGAUUUAAUAUCGGAUUGAAUAGGAUGGGUUUCACUUCUCAGUGGAUUAUACUCGGGUGUACGAUGCUUCACUUAUAUUUUGACUUUUAUUGUUGGUGCUGCCUAUGCUAUAGAGCAAGCAGUUUUGUGAUUCGGGCUAUUGGUAUCAGCGGUCAACUCAGUCCUUUUGCUAAAUUGUCCCCUCCCUUGACAAUCCUUCCUGAUUUGUUGUUUUUGUGGUUGGAUUCGAUUGAUAAGAUGGUUUUUGUUGGUGUGAUUUAGGAUAUCUGGUUUGGUGGUGACGGUUGUCGAGCUCUAUGUAGCGCAUCAUUGUGUAACUGGUUUAUUGGUUCCAAAGUUCCAACUUGUUUCAAAAAAUUAUUCUUCUCCACAUUUUCUUGAUUGUGAUGCAUCAUAGUUUCGUUUGUGUUUUAGGAUUUGGCUGGUGAAGGCUGCAGUCCAUAGGCAGCUUCAGCUUUAUUGGUUUCCACGAUUACAUCCUGCUAUCUUGCAUUUGAACUUUCUUUGUUUUUAAUUUUAAUUUUAUUUUUAUAUACUUGCUUAUAGAUGGAUAUUAUCGGUACUGAUUUAGGAUACUGCUGGUGCGGUGGUGAUAUGGAGUAUGCAUCUCUUCAUGAGGGGGUUUGAUGCUUCUUGCCUUUAAUAUAAAAUAUCUUCAAUUGAGUAUUUCUUAUCCUUUAGUCACUGAACUUCUAGAUUAUGUGUAUACUCAGUCAGGUGGACUUCAGUUUAGAUAUUGGCUGGUAUGCUAUUGGGUUUUCUCUUCCAUUGUUGAUGCUAUUGGGUUUUCUCUUCCAUUGUCGAUUUACAGCGGCCAACUCAAUCCUUUGCUAAUAUUUCCCUUCUCUUAACUAUAAUUCCUGAUUUGUUGUUUUUGUGGUUGCAUGAUUUGAUUGAUGGAGUUUUAGGAUUCUGUUGGUUUCAUGAUGGGGAGGUGUCGGGCUUAUUGGUUACAGAGUUCAACUUAAUUCUUUCAAUUUUAUAUUCCUUCCCCAAAUCUUUCAAUUUUCAGUUUAGGAUUUGGCUGUUGAAGGCGAUAUAAUGGGCAGAGCUUCGGCUUUAUUGGUUUUCAUGAUUCAUACCUGCUAUCUUCUCUUGAACUAUUUUUUAUUAUUUUUUUGUACUUGCUUAUAUUUAUUGGUAUUGGUUUAGGAUAUGGUUGCUGCGGUGUUGAUGGUUAUGCAAGCUUUUGCUCCCAGGCUUCAUCGGUUUCACUGUCAGUGAUUAAAUCCUUCCUUCUCAAUUUCUGAUCUGAUUGCUUGUUUUGAGACAUGUUUUAGGUUUCACUGGAUCAGGUUUUUCUAGGCUGUGCUUGGGGUGUUUCAUGUGCUUCUGUUCUAUUCUUUCCAAGAUGAACUUAUUCCUUUUUGUUAUCUGCAUUCUAUUCAUAUUAUUAUUUGUACGGGUGUAUAUAGGAUUUGGCUGAUAGCUUGGAUGGCUGUAAGGGCAGGAGUUGAAUCGUGUUUUUUGUCUUUUUUUUGGUUUGGGCGAUCAACUCCUUUCCUAUUUUCUGUUGAUCUUUUUCAAAAUGUUGUCAUAUAUAUAUAUAUAUAUAUUUUUUUUCAGUAAUAAUAUCAUUAGCAAUCAUCUCAUUCCUUCUCAAACAGCUUUUUUUGGCUCAUGCUAUGUUAUUGUGUAUCAGGGUUUGGUUUCACAAAGUUGCAUGGGCACUUUUGCUAUUUGUCCUUUCUCAAAACCUUUUGUGAUUGUGGAUUUUUUUUUUCCCUCCCUCUAUGCUUCUUUUUGGCUUCUGAAAUUCUUUAAAAUGGUUUGGCACACUGACGUUUACUAGUUUCGCUUCACAUAUUGCAAGUCAUGGUGGUUUUAUCGCUAGGAGUAGCACUAUAGAUUCGUGUAGGAAGAGGUUUGAUAAUUCUUGGCUUACAAGUUUUUCUAAAAUUUUCUGUUUCGGUAUGUGUUAGCAAGUCAUUCAACAAUAAUAUGAUUGGAGUAUGGUCUGCACGAGUUUUUCAGGGUUGUUAGUAGUAGUAGUUGAAGGCGAGCGGGAGUUUGGGUGCGGUGGCUUGUGUUUCAGGAGUUUUUUUUCUUUUGAGUGAUUGAUUCUUUCCAAAACUUUAAGUCUUUUCGUUAAUAAAACACUCUGUUUGGGUUUUCUAUCUACAGAUGCUGUUUGAUUUCGCCAAAAAAUGAUCACUAAAUAGGUUUGGCAUCAUGGAUCUUUACUUCAUAUUCAUUGUUGGUGUUCUUGUUCUUAUGCUGGUUUGAUCUUCUUGUUUUUCGAUCACUAAAGGAGUAGUGUAUCCUGAUGUUUCUGAAUAAAUGAAGUAAAGAUUACUUAUUAAAAUUUGUACCUCUGCUGUAGGGUUUGAGAUUCUUUGACCUAAAAUUAAUUUUUGAUAAUUUUUAACAGUGAUAACUCCCUAUCGACAGUGAUAGUGUUUUGUCUAUGUUCAGGUUUGGUAGAGAAGGUUUCUUUUCAAGAGUGGGUAAAAUUUGUACCUCUGCUGUAGGGUUUGAGAUUCUUUGCCCUAAAAUUAAUUUUUGAUAAUUUUUAACAGUUAUCUGAACUCCCUAUCGAUGUUGAUAGUGUUUUGUCUAUGUUCAGGUUUGGUACAGAAGGUUUCUUUUCAAGAGUGGGUUUUGAUUUUGGUUGGUCUGUUGGUAAGAUGAGCAGUUUUGUGAUCCAGUGGUCAAUUUGAUUCCUAUGUUUCUCAUAUCCUGAUUGCUACUAGAAAUUGGCUGUGAUGCCUCAUGGUAGAAAUUUCUGCUUAUAGUUGAAAGGGUUUCUCACACAUUCUACUGGUCAUUGCUUUUUGCCAGUUGUAUUGUUUUUGCUGCCUUUGGAGUUUAUUUGAUAGUGUGAGGUUCUAGUAUUGAAACUGGCUGGCAGAAGUUGUUUAUUUGGAGAUAGUUCCUGCUCUUCUGCUUGAUGUCUACUUUGGUGAUGUCUUGUUGUUGAAAGUGCUGGUUGAUAUAUCGUUCUGGAGUAUAAGAACAGUUGCCCUUCUUUUUAUGGCGCCAAGACUGUGUGCUAUAUUUAAUGACCGGUAAGAUUCUCUGUGCCUCGAUGACCAGUAAGAUUCUCUGUGCCUCAUCAAGUGUCUAUGAAAAACUUUGUGGAAUGAAGAAAAACUUUGUUUAAUGAAGAUCAUUGUAUGUUGUUUCAUUAUUGGAAAUUGGCUUGGUGUUGACUUCCAGUGUUCACAAGGGGGUCCUGUGCUUGUAUAUUUGUUGGUGGUGUUUCCGCAGCUUUGAUCAAGUGCUGUAUUUUUCUAUCAAUGCCUUGUGAGCUGCCUUCCUCGUCUCUAAGUUGUCUCCAAGUUUGAUCCCUUGUUUAAACUUCUUUUCUCUGCGGGUGGUUUUUUAUGCUUCGGAGUUGGUUUCUUUGGGGCAUGAUGCUAUGUUUUCGAGCUCAGUUGGUUGAACUUGUUUGUGUCUUUGAUGUAGGUAUGUAUGUCUUUGUUUGGUGGAAAAUAUAACGAUUAUGCUAUCACUAACGUGCAUUGAAUUAGGUUUUUAGGUUGUAAUUACUAGGUAGUAAUUAGGUACUUAGGUUAGGUUAA